AUACGGAGGGUCCGAGCGUUAUCCGGAAUCAUUGGGUUUAAAGGGUCCGUAGGCGGGAAUCUAAGUCAGUGGUGAAAUCUUGCAGCUCAACUGUAAAAUUGCCAUUGAUACUGGAUUUCUUGAAUUAGUGUGAAGUGGUUAGAAUGUGUAGUGUAGCGGUGAAACGCAUAGAUAUUACACAGAAUACCAAUUGCGAAGGCAGAUCACUAACACUAUAUUGACGCUGAGGGACGAAAGCGUGGGGAGCGAACAGGAUUAGAUACCCCAGUAGUCC
rnacentral:rRNA from 1 species